AUGUCGUCCGUCACCUCCUCCGCAUCCACCAACUCCAACCCGUUCGCCGACGCCAACCCUCCCGACGUCAAUGACAUCCACAAUCUUAACAUCUUCGAGUGGGUGCCGGUUCGUCUCUCGCAGGUGGACUCCUCAUACUACACGUGGAAGACGUAUUUUUCCCUUGUGUUCCGGGAGUAUCACCUCAUCGACCACGUGGACGGCACCGUCGACUCCAGCCUCGUCCCCGAGUUCCAUGACUGGUCCACUAUCGACACCACGAUCAUCCGCUGGUUCUUCCUCACCAUCUCGCCAGACCUCUUCGAGAUGGUCGUGGCGGACGGUGACGAUGCCUGCGCCGUGUGGACCAAGUUGAACGGGCUCUUCACCGACAACCAGCUCCAGCGUCGUGUUUUUUGCAGCAAGAGUUUUUUGGGUGUCACCAGGACAACACCUCCGUCGACGACUACUGUCGCCGCCUGA
rnacentral:rRNA from 1 species